rnacentral:rRNA from 1 species
AACGAACGCUGGCGGCAGGCCUAACACAUGCAAGUCGAGCGAGGACUUCGGUCCUAGCGGCGGACGGGUGAGUAACGCGUGGGAACGUGCCCUUUGCUUCGGAAUAGCCCUGGGAAACUGGGAGUAAUACCGGAUGAGCCCUUUUGGGGAAAGAUUUAUCGGCGAAGGAUCGGCCCGCGUUGGAUUAGGUAGUUGGUGGGGUAAUGGCCUACCAAGCCGACGAUCCAUAGCUGGUUUGAGAGGAUGAUCAGCCACACUGGGACUGAGACACGGCCCAGACUCCUACGGGAGGCAGGAGUGGGGAAUCUUAGACAAUGGGGGAAACCCUGAUCUAGCCAUGCCGCGUGAGCGAUGAAGGCCUUAGGGUUGUAAAGCUCUUUCAGCUGGGAAGAUAAUGACGGUACCAGCAGAAGAAGCCCCGGCUAACUCCGUG